rnacentral:rRNA from 1 species
GUAAGCGUGCGCAGGCGGUUUGUAAGACUGUCGUGAAAUCCCCGGGCUCAACCUGGGAAUGGCGAUGGUGACUGCAAGGCUAGAGUUUGGCAGAGGGGGGUAGAAUUCCACGUGUAGCAGUGAAAUGCGUAGAUAUGUGGAGGAACACCGAUGGCGAAGGCAGCCCCCUGGGUCAAAACUGACGCUCAUGCACGAAAGCGUGGGGAGCAAACAGGAUUAGAUACCCUAGU